CUGUGGGAGGGCUGGGGUGCUGUGCAGGGACAACCCCGGGCUGUGGCUGCUCCCUGGGGAGGUGUUGGGCCCACAGCAGGGUGGGAGAGCAGCGGGGAACAGCUGGAUGGGGUGUAAGGAGUGAGAGGUGUGGUGGGGAGGGGGCUGCAGGGCCAGCCCCAGGGCCAACACCACACCAGGACUUUGUUUUUGCAGCCAGUGUCCCAGAACUUUGUGUUUCACAGGAUUUCCUGCGGGGGCUCAGCCCCAGAGAAGCCACAGCUCCAGAUGGUGACAUGGAUGAGACUCGGUGCUUCCAUUCCUGAGGUGAGGGCGCACCAGGUGGCUGGACUGAGAGGUGAUUCUGCAGGAUGGUGAGAGCUGCUCUUGCAGUUUGGUUAUACCUGUGUGGUCUUUUUGGGUUAUCACAGAAUCAUAGAAGGGUUUGAGCUGGAAAGGACCAUAAAGACCAUCUCCUUCCACCCCCUGCCAUGGGCAGGGACACCUCCCACUAGCCCAGGUUGCCCCAAGCCCUGUCCAGCCUGGCCUUGAACAUGUCCAUAGGGUAGCCACAGCUUGUCUGGGCAACCUCUGCUAGGGCCUCCCCACCGUCAUUAAUUCCCUAAUACCCCACCUAACCCCUCCCUGUGCCUGUUGAAACCAUUCCCCCUUGUCCUGGCACUCCAUGCUCUUGUAAAGUCCCCCUCCAGUUUUCCUGUAGGUUAUAGAAAGCAGUUGUGCCUAAAUGGAUGGUGAACAUGAAUAAAAUCCAUUUUUCAAAGUUGA